rnacentral:rRNA from 1 species
ACGAACGCUGGCGGCGUGCUUAACACAUGCAAGUCGAACGGAAAGGCCCUGCUUUUGUGGGGUGCUCGAGUGGCGAACGGGUGAGUAACACGUGAGUAACCUGCCCUUGACUUUGGGAUAACAUCAGGAAACUGGGGCUAAUACCGGAUAGGAGCUCCUGCUGCAUGGUGGGGGUUGGAAUGUUUCGGCGGUUGGGGAUGGACUCGCGGCUUAUCAGCUUGUUGGUGGGGUAGUGGCUUACCAAGGCUUUGACGGGUAGCCGGCCUGAGAGGGUGACCGGCCACAUUGGGACUGAGAUACGGCCCAGACUCCUACGGGAGGCAGCAGUGGGGAAUAUUGCACAAUGGGCGGAAGCCUGAUGCAGCAACGCCGCGUGCGGGAUGACGGCCUUCGGGUUGUAAACCGCUUUCGCCUGUGACGAAGCGUGAGUGACGGUAAUGGGUAAAGAAGCACCGGCUAACUACGUG